rnacentral:rRNA from 1 species
AGCAGCCGCGGUAAUUCCAGCUCCAAUAGCGUAUAUUAAAGUUGUUGCAGUUAAAAAGCUCGUAGUUGAAUUUCGGGAUCAAUAUGUUGGUCGUGCCUCGGUACGUACUAGCUUAUUGGUUUCUCCUUUCUGAAGAACCAUGAUGUCAUUUAUUUGGUGUCGUGGGGAAUCAGGACUGUUACUUUGAAAAAUUAGAGUGUUUAAAGCAGGCUCACGCUUGAAUACAUUAGCAUGGAAUAAUGAAAUAGGACGUUUGAUUCUAUUUUGUUGGUUUCUAGGAUCGACGUAAUGAUUAAUAGGGAUAGUUGGGGGCAUUAGUAUUCAAUUGUCAGAGGUGAAAUUCUUGGAUUUAUUGAAGACUAACUACUGCGAAAGCAUUUGCCAAGGAUGUUUUCAUUAAUCAAGAACGAAAGUUAGGGGAUCGAAGACGAUCAGAUACCGUCGUAGUCUUAACCAUAAACUAUGCCGACUAGGGAUCGGAUGAUGUUAAUUUUUAAUGACUCAUUCGGCGCCUUAC